rnacentral:rRNA from 1 species
UGAGGAAUAUUGGUCAAUGGGCGAGAGCCUGAACCAGCCAAGUAGCGUGAAGGAUGACUGCCCUAUGGGUUGUAAACUUCUUUUAUAAAGGAAUAAAGUCGGGUAUGGAUACCCGUUUGCAUGUACUUUAUGAAUAAGGAUCGGCUAACUCCGUGCCAGCAGCCGCGGUAAUACGGAGGAUCCGAGCGUUAUCCGGAUUUAUUGGGUUUAAAGGGAGCGUAGAUGGAUAUUUAAGUCAGUUGUGAAAGUUUGCGGCUCAACCGUAAAAUUGCAGUUGAUACUGGAUAUCUUGAGUGCAGUUGAGGCAGGCGGAAUUCGUGGUGUAGCGGUGAAAUGCUUAGAUAUCACGAAGAACUCCGAUUGCGAAGGCAGCCUGCUAAGCUGCAACUGACAUUGAGGCUCGAAAGUGUGGGUAUCAAACAGGAUUAGAUACCCUGGUAGUCCACACGGUAAACGAUGAAUACUCGCUGUUUGCGAUAUACUGCAAGCGGCCAAGCGAAAGCGUUAAGUAUUCCACCUGGGGAGUACGCCGGCAACGGUGAAACUCAAAGGAAUUGACGGGGGCCCGCACAAGCGGAGGAACAUGUGGUUUAAUUCGAUGAUACGCGAGGAACCUUACCCGGGCUUAAAUUGCAGAUGAAUUACGGUGAAAGCCGUAAGCCGCAAGGCAUCUGUGAAGGUGCUGCAUGGUUGUCGUCAGCUCGUGCCGUGAGGUGUCGGCUUAAGUGCCAUAACGAGCGCAACCCUUGUCGUCAGUUACUAACAGGUUCCGCUGAGGACUCUGACAAGACUGCCAUCGUAAGAUGUGAGGAAGGUGGGGAUGACGUCAAAUCAGCACGGCCCUUACGUCCGGGGCUACACACGUGUUACAAUGGGGGGUACAGAGGGCCGCUACCACGCGAGUGGAUGCCAAUCCCCAAAACCUCUCUCAGUUCGGACUGGAGUCUGCAACCCGACUCCACGAAGCUGGAUUCGCUAGUAAUCGCGCAUCAGCCACGGCGCGGUGAAUACGUUCCC